rnacentral:misc_RNA from 1 species
GACUCUGAGUUGGACGAGGUUAUUAAAAAAAAGAAAUCUCUGUCAGAUAGUGAAAAAUCUGAGAAACCUAGCAGCUCCCGUAAUGAUGAAGUUAUGACCGAUACGGAUUAUUUCAAAAGUAGAGUGAGGAAAGAUUGGUCUGAUUCAGAAAGUAGUGAAGACGAUGGUAGUGAUAAUGAAAGUGACAAGAGCAGUGAAGAUGCAAAUGCUGGUAAUA